GACGAGUCCGGCGAACGUUAUUCGGAAUUACUGGGCUUAAAAGCGUGCGUAGGUGGUUCAGAGGGUUGGGAGUGAAAUCCCACGGCCUAACCGUGGAAUUGCUCUCAAAACCGCUGGACUAGAGGAGGUUAGAGGCGAGCGGAACUACGGGUGGAGCGGUGAAAUGCGUUGAUAUCCGUAGGAACACCGGUGGCGAAGGCGGCUCGCUGGGGCCUUUCUGACACUGAGGCACGAAAGCUAGGGUAGCGAACGGG
rnacentral:rRNA from 1 species